UCUGCGCCCCAACUUGAACGGAGCUCUUUUUGCGAGGAGGAACGAGGAGCAAAAAAGCGGGAGUGGUAGGUGGAAAGAGGC
rnacentral:misc_RNA from 1 species